rnacentral:rRNA from 1 species
AGAGUUUGAUCAUGGCUCAGGACGAACGCUGACGGUGUGCUUUAGGCAUGCAAGUCGAACGAGAAAGCCCUUCGGGGUGAGUAAAGUGGCGAACGGGUGAGUAACACGUGGGCAACCUGCCCCUCGCAGGGGGACAACCGGAGGAAACUCCGGCUAAUACCCCGUAAGCUCUAUACGCCGCAUGGCGAAUAGAGGAAAGGUAGCUUCGGCUAUCCGGCGAGGGAUGGGCCCGCGGUGCAUUAGCUAGUUGGUGGGGUAACGGCCCACCAAGGCGACGAUGCGUAGCUGGUCUGAGAGGAUGAUCAGCCACACUGGGACUGAGACACGGCCCAGACUCCUACGGGAGGCAGCAGUGAGGAAUUUUCCGCAAUGGGCGAAAGCCUGACGGAGCAAUACCGCGUGAGGGAGGAAGGUUCUUGGAUUGUAAACCUCUUUUCUCAGAGAAGAAUAAUGACGGUAUCUGAGGAAUAAGCAUCGGCUAACUCCGUGCCAGCAGCCGCGGUAAUACGGAGGAUGCAAGCGUUAUCCGGAAUGAUUGGGCGUAAAGGGUCUGUAGGUGGUUGUUCAAGUCUGCUGUUAAAGCGUCUGGCUUAACCAGAUAAAGGCGGUGGAAACUGAACGACUAGAGUGCGGUAGGGGUAGAGGGAAUUCCCAGUGUAGCGGUGAAAUGCGUAGAUAUUAGGAAGAACACCUGUGGCGAAAGCGCUCUACUGGACCGCGACUGACACUGAUGGACGAAAGCUAGGGGAGCGAAUGGGAUUAGAUACCCCCGUAGUCC